rnacentral:rRNA from 1 species
UGAGGAAUUUUCCGCAAUGGGCGCAAGCCUGACGGAGCGACGCCGCGUGAGGGAUGAAGGCUUUCGGGUCGUAAACCUCUUUUGUGGGGGAAAAAGAUGACUGUGCUCAUACCACGGUUAUUUGAUGGUACUUCACGAAUAAGCCCCGGCUAACUACGUGCCAGCAGCCGCGGUAAUACGUAGGGGGCGAGCGUUGUCCGGAGUUACUGGGCGUAAAGGGCGUGUAGGCGGUUGGAUAAGUCUGGUGUGAAAUGCUUCGGCUCAACCGGGGCGCUGCACUGGAAACUGUCUGACUGGAGUGUCGGAGGGGUGACUGGAAUUCCCGGUGUAACGGUGAAAUGUGUAGAUAUCGGGAGGAACACCUGUGGCGAAGGCGGGUCACUGGACGAUAACUGACGCUGAUACGCGAAAGCGUGGGUAGCAAACAGG